AAAGUUAAAAAUGUCACCUGCAUUUGUUUUUUUAAUCAAAGUAAUUCACCUUUUUGUAAUCUAAACUUAGUCAAAUGAGUCAAAGGUGCAAAUAACUAUUUUUUCUAACAUGUUUAUUUUUCAAGAGAAAAAAAACUCCGCCAAAAGAUUUUUUUUUUUUUAAAGACUUUUAUCUUUUUCAAGAAAUUGUAAGGAUCUAUAAAGAAAUAUCACAGUGCCUUUCCUUGCUUGGUUGUGAAGCAACUUCAAGUACCGUAUGUCUUGCAUCCCUUGACCUACAUUGGAGUCACAAGGGGUCCGGUUUUCUGUCCAUGAAUGUAAAGCCCCCCCCAAAAAAAAUCCCCCAAAACAAAUGGCAGCCUUACUGCAAGGAUUGGUCUUCCCAAAUGAGUGUGACACAUGUCCCAUCUGUGUAUUUCUUGAUGCUUUGUCAUGCCCUUUUACGCUUGGAUAACAGGAAAUAUGACUGUUAUAUAUAUAUAUUUUUUAAGAAUGUCUGUAUCAUUUCAUUGUUAAGUUUUGAAGCAACACCAGCGCUAAAGCGGGGUACACGCUUACCGCUUUUGAACAUCUGCGUGAGAGAUCCUCACGUGGUAAGAAAGAGUGCUUUUUCAGCUCUUGUCACCCAUCGUCCACUAGUUACGCUGCGAUUCAAAAUUUGCAUCGGCAUCAAAAUACACGUUUCCGAACAGAAGUGUGAUUCAGAUGGCUAUUGCGAAACUGUUACCAACAAAGUAUGGUGGACCUUUGGAUGUGAAAGUGAAGCGUAGUGAGUCUGAGUAAACUCAAGGAAUGAGUCAGUGUAUCCACACUCUUAGACCUUGCCCGUUUCCUUUCUUGCUAUUACCGUAGCGACAGCAGCAUGUGUACAGUUGCGUCAUGCUGCUCGGGUUUCAGUGUGGGGCGGGGCAGCACAGGACGCUUUUUGUAGUGCCUCAAAAUAAUAUUUCCCGAUAAGAACAUAGAGUCACCAAUUGUAUUUCCUUCGCGAUUAUGGGGGAAAAAAAUAAAAUAAAAAUCACUUGCAACACCCCACGGCACAGGAUAAUCAUGCAGGAUAAUCUUUCAGAGACCGUUGUUGAUUUAGGUGACUAUGCUGUAAUUCGGCCUAAAAAUCGGUCUGCGUGUACCCCUUCUUAAGCAUUACUUCAUGCUGAGAGAAUGUUCACUGAAGGUUGUAGUCAAGUGUUCAAGUUAGUUGACGGAAUGAAACAGUAACUGAAAGCAUGACUGAAAUGGUUCUGAAUGUGCUUCAUCCACCGUAUGGGGCUGGGGAAUCUACCUCUGUUAGAAAACACCUCCCAAAAAAUUGUUGGUCCUUACAUCAUAUGUUACUCACAAAAAGAGGGGGGGGGGGAUCUUGGGCUUUUUAGGUUCAUCCUGAAAUUUUAUCCAACAGACAAGAUAUCCCAGAAUUUUUGUGAGUAUAGUAUUAUUUUUUUAAUUGUAUUUUUUUUAAAUCAUUUAAAGGUUCCCCAUGCUUGUUCUUUGCAUUUCUAUUUGGAGACGGUGUAUACUUACUCCGCCGGUCUUCCAAAUAUACUGAGAAAACAAUCCAUGCGUGAGAGGUCUCCAAAGGGGCAACAAGAUGGUGGUGUGAAGUGAUCGUAGCGUCAUUUUCCCUGAAUGUGAACAGUGUUCUGCUUUAAUGAUACCGAGACAGUCCCAGGUUGAAAAUCUAACAAUAUAAUUUCAAAGUUCAAAACCCUUGUUAUGGGUUACAGCUACACCACACCUCUUUUUGUCUUCUUCUAUGGAGUAUUUCAAAGGGAGAAGGCUAAGGACUAUUUUUUUUUUUUUUUUUUUUUGUGACUUUGCACACAUUACAAAAAGCUUCGCAGUGUUCAUACCGUUGUCCAAUCAUCUCUUUGUUUUCCACAAGAGCACAGGUUCCUCAUGUGCACCCAUGUCGUGAUUAGGUUGAACUAAUUGUCCAAAUUGGACUGUAAUAAUGGUUGAUGAAAGGCGGAGAAGACAUUUGUGUCUUUGGUUUGUCGAUCAAGCCGUUGUUCUUUUUUCUUUUUGUUUUUAAUUAUCCUGUAUGUAUGUAUAUUCAUCUGUUCAAGCAGUUUAUCCCAUUUUGUGCAUAUACCACCAGUUUGUAAGAUAUGAUAAAGGAAUCUACAUGGGACGCCCUUGAAUAAAAAGGUUUUACUAGAUA